rnacentral:rRNA from 1 species
UACGAAGGGGGGCUAGCGUUGCUCGGAAUCACUGGGGCGUAAAGGGUGCGUAGGCGGGUCUUUUAAGUCAGGGGGUGAAAUCCUGGAGCUCAACUCCAGAACUGCCUUUUGAUACUGAGGAUCUUGAGUCCGGGAGAGGUGAGUGGAACUGCGAGUGUAGAGGUGAAAUUCGUAGAUAUUUGCAAGAACACCAGUGGCGAAGGCGGCUCGCUGGGACGUUACUGACACUAAGGCGCGAAAGCGUGGGGAGCGAACAGG